UCGGCCCCCCGACUGAGGAGGACACGGAGGUCCGUGGCGGUCAUCCCACGCCCCGGCCGGGAGGCGCCUGCGGGGGUUCCCCGGGUCCACAUGCCCACGCCCGGGACUCCCCACCGGCCAGCUGGCCCGCCUCGUCUGGCCUCGCUCCUUCCCUUGCUGCUGGCUACAGCGCGGACACGGCCGGGAUCAGAGCCCGCCGCCAGGCCUGCCGUCCCAGCACUGCCCUGCCCUGCCCUAAAGACCGAGCUGGGAGGACUCCAGGGCAAGGCUGUGCCGCUGCCCCUGCCCCGACUCCCCGCCUCCCGCUUUGCUGCCCCCACCCUCCGGAGCUGCCCAUCGGCCUUGGCAGGCCUCGGAGCGUCCUUCGCACACGUGGAACUUGAUUGUCAGCUGUAACUCACCCGUUCCUUCAUCCAUCCAUUCAUUCACCAAGUGUCCCCUGGCCCCAAAGCCUGGGGGCCAGCUGGGGUCCAAGAAGUCCAUUCUCCUGAAAUGUGGCUUCCCAGCAGGCAAGAAGGAGAGUUCCAGGUUCCUGGGCUCUGGGCGGGCACCACCUUGAGGGAAUGGCCAGAGUCCCGACAGCCCGUGCGGCUGAGGCCUGAGGGAUGGACGAGAGGGACAAGUCCUUGAAGAGGCCUGAGCUGAGCGAGGGGCCUGUGGCAGAGGCAGGCCGAGGCCAGGACUUUGAGCUUCUUAAGGUGCAGUGGAAAAUUGGUCACUGCCUUGGAAGAUGCUGUUCUCAUUUCACACCCAUGCCACAUCUCUACCCUCCCCCAAGCAGAGGGCCCAUAUUCACCAGCAUGUCCUGUGUCCUGGUCGUGUCCCACCCCACCUGCCAUGUCGCCUGGCUUCCCUGCAGUCGGGCUGAAGGAAAGGGUGCCCAAGUUUUUAGAGGACAAAACGGGACACAAGAAGGCAGGCGUCGGGUGCAGCACUGAAGACAUCCGCUGGGAAGCCCACAUCCCACAUCAGAGAGUCUGGGCUUCAGUUCUGGCUCUGCUGUUGACUCCAGCUUCCUGCUAGCGUGCUCCUGGGAAGCAGCAGGUGAUGGCUCGGGCAGUUAAGUCCCAACCACCCAUGUGGGAGACCUGGAUUGAAUUCCAGUCUCCUGGCUUCAGCCUGGCCCAACCCUGGCCAUUGCAGGCCUUUGGGAAGUGAACCAGCAAAUGGAAGAUCUUCUCUCUGUGUCUUUCUCUCUCUCCAUUUAUC